UGUGGCUGUUAUGUAGAACUGAAUAGUAUUCUAAAAUAAAAUAAAUAAAAUAAAAAAAAAAGAAGUGCAUGUAAAACCAAUGGCAUUGACCAUAUCAAUAGCUCUUAGGUAUAUGAUUGGCAUGCACAGUAAAGAAUAGAUAAUAUUUAAAAAAAAUUAAAAAAAUAAAAAUAAAACAUAAUAAUUAACUUUUCCAAUACAAUAAAAGAUUGACUCAACAGGGAAAAUCUUGCAGUAAGAAAGACAUUAAAAGGCUAAUUAUUGGCAUGUUUUAAAGCCCCAAUCAUCUCUCUCUGCAUUUGAAGUAUAUACUGAUUAGAAUGAAAACUCAGUCUCUCCAGGAUGUCAGCCCUCAGGAGGCCAUGACUUGAAUGUCUUGUGUAACUUAUUUCCACAAAUAUAGUAGAGAAGUCAAUGGACCACAUAGGAUAAUAAGAAUGAUCUUAGAUUCUCAUGUUAAAUCAGGAUCCUCAAAGGAUUUACGAAAACACAACUGGAAUAUUAAUAAGAGAAAACAUGGAGAUAAUGAACAGGAGCCCCCACUCUGGCCUUCGGGUAUAGGCAGGACAGGGAAUAAUCCUCUAUGAAGCUUUAAGCAGAGGUCUACUCUUUUUUAUUUUAUUUUAUUUUAUUUUUAAUUCUCCUCCCAGAUAUUACAUCCUGACUGUAGUUUUCCCUCUGUCCCCUCCCCUCAGUGCCCCCCAUUUUCCCUCUCCCUAAGGCCAACCCCCCCUCAAUCCCAAUCCUCCCUUCAGAAAAGAACAGGCCUCCCAGAGACAUCAACCAAACAUGGCAGACAGGCACAUAGGAUCACAUCAAGGCCACUUAGCAGGUCCCUCAAGCAGGCAAAGACUCAAAGACUGCCUCCUGCUCCCACUGUUAGGAAUCUCACAAAAACACAAAGCUAGUCAGCUAUUACACACACACACACACACACACACACACACACACACACACACACACACACACAUCCUUACAAACUCCCUGAUACCAUCGAGCCCCCAUGAGUCGUGGUCAGUUGAUUCUGUGGGUUGUGUUCUUUUGUUGUCCCUGAGCCCUCUGGUUCCUCCAGUUCUUCCUCCCCCUCCUCCUCAGGGCUCCCUGAGCUCCAGGCUAAUGAUUUACUGUGAGACUGCAUCUGCUGCAUGGCUGGAUCUGCUCCUAUCAUUUACUGGAUGAAGUCUUUCUGGUCUCUUUGAUGAAGAUUCUACUCGGCACCAGUCCCAGAACACUAUGCAGGAGUGAAAAAUUAUGAUUACUUCACUGACCUGAGACUUUCAAAGAUCAUCUUGACCCCAUCCUCUGGUUUCAGUAUUGACAAUACAACAACAUCAUGGCACCAUGCAUCUUGGCAGGCUCAACAGAAAGCGAUGACGUCCUCUUUCCCUCUGUACCAGUGCCUUAAUUGCUGAUACCCCUGCCUGUUGCUGCUUCUACUGUUGUCCCUGCGUCCCAAGUUCAACACAGCUGUUUCUGUAACUGUCAUCAUUGCCAGGGGCAUGUUUGGAAGCUAUAAAAUAUUUUGUAGCUCCUGCCAACUUUUAACAUCCUGCCACUAUCCCCAAUCAACAGAAAUUUACAGGAAGUCAUCUAGAAAGUGGAUCUGGGAAAUACCUUUUGCAUCAUCAUAGAUUAAAUGGACCUUGGUUUAAAUGAAUCUCCAUAAUGAUAACCUCUCAGAUUGUCUUACAGAUGAAGAAAUGGCAAAAAAACAAAACAAAAACAAAAACAAAAACAAAAAAAACUGAACACAGAAACACACACACAACACACAACAAAUGUACCUCAUGGAA